rnacentral:tRNA from 1 species
UGGCUCAGUGGGUUGGAGCAUGAUGCUGAGAACACCAGUGUUGAGGGUUCAAUUCCCUC